rnacentral:rRNA from 1 species
GCCGUAGGUGAACCUGCGGCAGGAUCAUUAUU